rnacentral:rRNA from 1 species
UAGGGAAUCUUCGGCAAUGGGGGGAACCCUGACCCAGCAACGCCGCGUGAGUGAAGAAGGUUUUCGGAUCGUAAAGCUCUGUUGUUAAGGAAGAACGAGCGUGAGAAUGGAAAGUUCAUGCUGUGACGGUCCUUAACCAGAAAGGGACGGCUAACUACGUGCCAGCAGCCGCGGUAAUACGUAGGUCCCGAGCGUUGUCCGGAUUUAUUGGGCGUAAAGCGAGCGCAGGCGGUUAGAAAAGUCUGAAGUGAAAGGCAGUGGCUCAACCAUGGUAGGCUUUGGAAGAUGUUUGACUUGAGUGCAGAAGGGGAGGGGGGAAUUCCAAGUGGAGCGGUGAAAUGCGGAGAUAUAGGGGGGAACAACGGUGGCGAAAGCGGCUCUCUGGUCUGUAACUGACGCUGAGGCUCGAAAGGGUGGGGAGCGAACAGG